GACGGGGCCCGCACAAGCGGUGGAGCAUGUGGUUUAAUUCGAUGCAACGCGAAGAACCUUACCUGGUCUUGACAUCCACGGAGGUUUUCAGAGAUGAGAAUGUGCCUUCGGGAACCGUGAGACAGGUGCUGCAUGGCUGUCGUCGGCUCGUGUUGUGAAAUGUUGGGUUAAGUCCCGCAACGAGCGCAACCCUUAUCCUUUGUUGCCAGCGGUCCGGCCGGGAACUCAAAGGAGACUGCCAGUGAUAAACUGGAGGAAGGUGGGAUGACGUCAAGUCAUCAUGGCCCUUACGACCAGGGCUACACACGUGCUACAAUGGCGCAUACAAAGAGAAGCGACCUCGCGAGAGCAAGCGGACCUCAUAAAGUGCGUCGUAGUCCGGAUUGGAGUCUGCAACUCGACUCCAUGAAGUCGGAAUCGCUAGUAAUCGUGGAUCAGAAUGCCACGGUGAAUACGUUCCCGGGCCUU
rnacentral:rRNA from 1 species